UACGUAGGGGGCAAGCGUUAUCCGGAUUUACUGGGUGUAAAGGGAGCGCAGACGGAUGGAUAAGUCUGAAGUGAAAGCCCGCGGCUCAACUGCGGGACUGCUUUGGAAACUGUGCAUCUUGAGUACGGGAGGGGCAGGCGGAAUUCCUGGUGUAGCGGUGAAAUGCGUAGAUAUCAGGAGGAACUCCGGCGGCGAAGGCGGCCUGCUGGACCGAAACUGACGUUGAGGCUCGAAAGCGUGGGGAGCAAACAGG
rnacentral:rRNA from 1 species